rnacentral:rRNA from 1 species
UACGUAGGGUGCGAGCGUUGUCCGGAAUUACUGGGCGUAAAGAGCUCGUAGGUGGUUUGUCGCGUUGUCCGUGAAAACUCACAACUCAAUUGUGGGCGUGCGGGCGAUACGGGCAGACUGGAGUACUGCAGGGGAGACUGGAAUUCCUGGUGUAGCGGUGAAAUGCGCAGAUAUCAGGAGGAACACCGAUGGCGAAGGCAGGUCUCCUGGGCAUUAACUGACGCUGAGGAGCGAAAGCAUGGGGAGCGAACAGG